AUCGAGUUAAGAACAGCCGGUGCCCCUGCCUGGCGCAGGGGGUAAAAGGGAAACAGGUGCAAAUCCUGUGCGAUCUCGUCACUGUGAGUAGGGAGCCCAUGGCAAAUGUCGCGGACAGUCACUGAUUCCGAUGGAAUUGGGAAGGCCGCCGUGGGUGUGGAUGGACAAGUCAGGAAACCUGCCGGCUGCUGGUACAGGAAA
rnacentral:ncRNA from 20 species